GGCGGCGUAGCUCAGAGGUAGAGCACAUGCUUAGUGUUCAUGGGAUCCUGGGUUAGAUGCCCAGGCCA
rnacentral:tRNA from 1 species